rnacentral:rRNA from 1 species
AUUGAACGCUGGCGGCAAGCCUAACACAUGCAAGUCGCACGAGUGGCGGACGGGUGAGUAAUGUCUGGGAAACUGCCUGAUGGAGGGGGAUAACUACUGGAAACGGUAGCUAAUACCGCAUACCAUCGGAUGUGCCCAGAUGGUAUUAGCUAGUAGGUUGGGUAAAGGCUCACCUAGGCGACGAUCCCUAGCUGGUCUGAGAGGAUGACCAGCCACACUGGUACUGUGCCACGGUCCAGACUCCUACGGGAGGCAGCUGUGGUGAAUCUUGCACAAUGGGCGCACGCCUGAUGCAGCCAUGCCGCGUGUAUGAAGAAGGCCUUCGGGUUGUAAAGUACUUUCAGCGGGGAGGCGGGACACGAAGAAGGAGCACCGGCUAACUCCGUGCCAGCAGCCGCGGUAAUAG